rnacentral:lncRNA from 1 species
GGACUUAGGGACGAAUCCAGGCAACAAACAGAUGAGCCUUCGAGCAGAAUAAAACUGUUCAGGAAAAACAACAACAAAAAAAACUUGUCUUUGGGAAGUAGAGUGAAGGUCAGCACAAACCAGGCUUCAGAGGCAAGAGAGACAGUGGCAGAUAUUGUGCCACCAUAGGAAGAUGCCAGCAGCCAUGAAUGUGAAAGAAUUUGCAAGAUUAGAGGAUUAAGAUGUGAAGCCUCAAGAUAAACUUAGAACUCCUACAAAGAUUAUUCUCCUUUCUGGGAAAAACUAUAAAUUUUCAACAAGGACAUAAAUGUGAGUGACCUGCAGAAAAGAAUAAAGCAAACUCCUGAAAAUGCGGAGCAGGAGCCCUCCAGGGUCUUGCAUGUAUAAAACCCGAAUUCAUGCUCAUG